rnacentral:rRNA from 1 species
AGUGGGGAAUAUUGCGCAAUGGGCGAAAGCCUGACGCAGCGACGCAGCGUGAGGGACGAAGGCCUUCGGGUUGUAAACCUCUUUCAGCGGGGACGAAGCGAAAGUGACGGUACCCGCAGAAGAAGCACCGGCUAACUACGUGCCAGCAGCCGCGGUAAUACGUAGGGUGCAAGCAUUGUCCGGAUUUAUUGGGCGUAAAGAGCUCGUAGGCGGCUUGUCACGUCGGAUGUGAAAACUCGGGGCUCAACCCCGAGCCUGCAUUCGAUACGGGCUAGCUAGAGUGUUGCAGGGGAGACUGGAAUUCCUGGUGUAGCGGUGAAAUGCGCAGAUAUCAGGAGGAACACCGGUGGCGAAGGCGGGUCUCUGGGCAACUACUGACGCUGAGGAGCGAAAGCGUGGGGAGCGAA